AUCGCUUCUGGCCUUUUGGCUAAGAUCAAGUGUAGUAUCUCUGUUCUUAUCAGUUUAAAAUGCAUAUUGAAGAUUGUGUAGGGUUGCUCUAGAUGAUUAUUAUAAAAGUAGGGGUGUUUGGCUGCCUCAGUUGGUGGAUCCUGUGACUCGAUCUUAAAGUUGUAGGUUUGAGCCUAUCUUGAGAGUAGAGUUUACUUA
ensembl:snRNA U2 U2 spliceosomal RNA